rnacentral:rRNA from 1 species
AAGAAAGUAAAUAAGGGCGCAUGGCGGAUGCCUUGGCUCUCGGAGGCGAUGAAGGACGUGAUAAGCUGCGAUAAGCUUCGGGUAGGUGCAAAUGACCUUUGAUCCGAAGAUUUCCGAAUGGGACAACCCGGCAUUCUGAAGGAAUGUCAUCCAACUUGGUUGGAGGCUAACGCAGGGAACUGAAACAUCUUAGUACCUGCAGGAAAAGAAAAUAAAUAAUGAUUCCCCUAGUAGUGGCGAGCGAACGGGGAUUAGCCCAAACCACCCAUGUUACGGCAUGUGUGGGGUUGUAGGACCACGCUCUCGCAAGACAGUUAUUGAGAAGAAACGACUGGAAAGUCGUGCCAUAGACGGUGAUAGCCCGGUAUUCUAAGGUAACCGAAGCGUAGUGGUAUCCUGAGUAGCGCGGAGCACGAGGAAUUCUGCGUGAAUCAGCCGGGACCAUCCGGUAAGGCUAAAUACUCCCGAGAGACCGAUAGCGAACCAGUACUGUGAAGGAAAGGUGAAAAGCACUUCGAAUAGAAGAGUGAAAUAGUCCCUGAAACCAUGCGCCUACAAGCGGUCGGAGCAGCUUAAGUUGUGACGGCGUGCCUUUUGCAUAAUGAACCUACGAGUUACUUUUUCCGGCAAGGUUAAGCAUCUUGAGAUGUGGAUCCGAAGCGAAAGCGAGUCUGAACAGGGCGGAUAGUCGGAAGGAGUAGACGCGAAACCAAGUGAUCUACCCUUGGGCAGGUUGAAGGUUAGGUAACACUAACUGGAGGACCGAACCGAUAAGCGUUGAAAAGCUUCCGGAUGACCUGAGGGUGGGGGUGAAAGGCUAAUCAAACUUGGAGAUAGCUCGUACUCCCCGAAAUGCAUUUAGGUGCAGCCUUGAGAGUUACUAAUGUGAGGUAGAGCGACUGAUAAGAUGCGAGGGCUUCACCGCCUAUCAAGUCUUGAUAAACUCCGAAUGCGCAUUAGUUCUAUCUCAGGAGUGAGGGCAUGGGUGCUAAGGUCCAUGUCCUAAAGGAGAAGAAUCCAGACCAUCAGCUAAGGUCCCCAAAUAAACACUAAGUUGAACUAACGAAGUCAGAUUGCUAAGACAGCUAGGAUGUUGGCUUGGAAGCAGCCAUUCAUUUAAAGAGUGCGUAACAGCUCACUAGUCGAGGAGUUUGGCGUGGAUAAUAAUCGGGCAU